UACGAAGGGUGCUAGCGUUGUUCGGAAUCACUGGGCGUAAAGCGCGCGUAGGCGGCGCAGCAAGUCAGGGGUGAAAUCCCAGAGCUUAACUCUGGAAUUGCCUUUGAAACUGCUGCGCUGGAGUGUCGGAGGGGAUGGCGGAAUUGCUAAUGUAGAGGUGAAAUUCGUAGAUAUUAGCAGGAACACCGGUGGCGAAGGCGGCCAUCUGGACGACAACUGACGCUGAGGCGCGAAAGCGUGGGGAUCAAACAGG
rnacentral:rRNA from 1 species